rnacentral:rRNA from 1 species
CCUACGGGGUGCAGCAGUGGGGAAUAUUGGACAAUGGGCGAAAGCCUGAUCCAGCCAUGCCGCGUGUGUGAAGAAGGCCUUCGGGUUGUAAAGCACUUUCAGUGGGGAAGAAAGCCUUGGGGCUAAUACCCUCGAGGAAGGACAUCACCCACAGAAGAAGCACCGGCUAACUCCGUGCCAGCAGCCGCGGUAAUACGGAGGGUGCGAGCGUUAAUCGGAAUUACUGGGCGUAAAGCGCGCGUAGGCGGUCUGAUAAGCCGGUUGUGAAAGCCCCGGGCUCAACCUGGGAACGGCAUCCGGAACUGCCAGGCUAGAGUGCAGGAGAGGAAGGUAGAAUUCCCGGUGUAGCGGUGAAAUGCGUAGAGAUCGGGAGGAAUACCAGUGGCGAAGGCGGCCUUCUGGACUGACACUGACGCUGAGGUGCGAAAGCGUGGGUAGCAAACAGGAUUAGAUACCCCAGUAGUC